UUAAGCGACUAAGCGUACACGGUGGAUGCCCUGGCAGUCAGAGGCGAUGAAGGGCGUGCUAAUCUGCGAUAAGCGCCGGUAAGGUGAUAUGAACCGUUAUAACCGGCGAUACCCGAAUGGGGAAACCCAGUGUGACUCGUCACACUAUCAUUAACUGAAUCCAUAGGUUAAUGAGGCGAACCGGGGGAACUGAAACAUCUAAGUACCCCGAGGAAAAGAAAUCAACCGAGAUUCCCCCAGUAGCGGCGAGCGAACGGGGAGGAGCCCAGAGCCUGAAUCAGCAUGUGUGUUAGUGGAAGCGUCUGGAAAGGCGCGCGAUACAGGGUGACAGCCCCGUACACAAAAGCGCAUGUGCUGUGAGCUCGAUGAGUAGGGCGGGACACGUGGUAUCCUGUCUGAAUAUGGGGGGACCAUCCUCCAAGGCUAAAUACUCCUGACUGACCGAUAGUGAACCAGUACCGUGAGGGAAAGGCGAAAAGAACCCCGGCGAGGGGAGUGAAAAAGAACCUGAAACCGUGUACGUACAAGCAGUGGGAGCCCCACCACCAAAGCGUUUCGCUUUGUGUGGUGCACAAAGAAGCGUAACGACAGCACUGAAUGACGGUUAACGGAGCGCAAGCGACGUUCAACAUACAAAGUCAAGCAGUGGAGCGCUUUGGGGUGGGGUGACUGCGUACCUUUUGUAUAAUGGGUCAGCGACUUAUAUUCUGUAGCAAGGUUAACCGAAUAGGGGAGCCGGAGGGAAACCGAGUCUUAACCGGGCGUUAAGUUGCAGGGUAUAGACCCGAAACCCGGUGAUCUAGCCAUGGGCAGGUUGAAGGUUGGGUAACACUAACUGGAGGACCGAACCGACUAAUGUUGAAAAAUUAGCGGAUGACCUGUGGCUGGGGGUGAAAGGCCAAUCAAACCGGGAGAUAGCUGGUUCUCCCCGAAAGCUAUUUAGGUAGCGCCUCGUGAAUUCAUCUCCGGGGGUAGAGCACUGUUUCGGCUAGGGGGCCAUCCCGGCUUACCAACCCGAUGCAAACUGCGAAUACCGGAGAAUGUUAUCACGGGAGACACACGGCGGGUGCUAACGUCCGUCGUGAAGAGGGAAACAACCCAGACCGCCAGCUAAGGUCCCAAAGUCAUGGUUAAGUGGGAAACGAUGUGGGAAGGCCCAGACAGCCAGGAUGUUGGCUUAGAAGCAGCCAUCAUUUAAAGAAAGCGUAAUAGCUCACUGGUCGAGUCGGCCUGCGCGGAAGAUGUAACGGGGCUAAACCAUGCACCGAAGCUGCGGCAGCGACGCUUAUGCGUUGUUGGGUAGGGGAGCGUUCUGUAAGCCUGUGAAGGUGGCCUGUGAGGGUUGCUGGAGGUAUCAGAAGUGCGAAUGCUGACAUAAGUAACGAUAAAGCGGGUGAAAAGCCCGCUCGCCGGAAGACCAAGGGUUCCUGUCCAACGUUAAUCGGGGCAGGGUGAGUCGACCCCUAAGGCGAGGCCGAAAGGCGUAGUCGAUGGGAAACGGGUUAAUAUUCCCGUACUUGGUGUUACUGCGAAGGGGGGACGGAGAAGGCUAUGUUGGCCGGGCGACGGUUGUCCCGGUUUAAGCGUGUAGGUGUGUGUUCCAGGUAAAUCCGGUUCACUUUAACACUGAGGCGUGAUGACGAGGCACUACGGUGCUGAAGCAACAAAUGCCCUGCUUCCAGGAAAAGCCUCUAAGCAUCAGGUAACAUCAAAUCGUACCCCAAACCGACACAGGUGGUCAGGUAGAGAAUACCAAGGCGCUUGAGAGAACUCGGGUGAAGGAACUAGGCAAAAUGGUGCCGUAACUUCGGGAGAAGGCACGCUGAUAUGUAGGUGAAGCGGUUUACCCGUGGAGCUGAAAUCAGUCGAAGAUACCAGCUGGCUGCAACUGUUUAUUAAAAACACAGCACUGUGCAAACACGAAAGUGGACGUAUACGGUGUGACGCCUGCCCGGUGCCGGAAGGUUAAUUGAUGGGGUCAGCGCAAGCGAAGCUCCUGAUCGAAGCCCCGGUAAACGGCGGCCGUAACUAUAACGGUCCUAAGGUAGCGAAAUUCCUUGUCGGGUAAGUUCCGACCUGCACGAAUGGCGUAAUGAUGGCCAGGCUGUCUCCACCCGAGACUCAGUGAAAUUGAACUCGCUGUGAAGAUGCAGUGUACCCGCGGCAAGACGGAAAGACCCCGUGAACCUUUACUAUAGCUUGACACUGAACAUUGAGCCUUGAUGUGUAGGAUAGGUGGGAGGCUUUGAAGCGUGGACGCCAGUCUGCGUGGAGCCGACCUUGAAAUACCACCCUUUAAUGUUUGAUGUUCUAACGUGGACCCGUUACCCGGGUUGCGGACAGUGUCUGGUGGGUAGUUUGACUGGGGCGGUCUCCUCCUAAAGAGUAACGGAGGAGCACGAAGGUUGGCUAAUCCUGGUCGGACAUCAGGAGGUUAGUGCAAUGGCAUAAGCCAGCUUGACUGCGAGCGUGACGGCGCGAGCAGGUGCGAAAGCAGGUCAUAGUGAUCCGGUGGUUCUGAAUGGAAGGGCCAUCGCUCAACGGAUAAAAGGUACUCCGGGGAUAACAGGCUGAUACCGCCCAAGAGUUCAUAUCGACGGCGGUGUUUGGCACCUCGAUGUCGGCUCAUCACAUCCUGGGGCUGAAGUAGGUCCCAAGGGUAUGGCUGUUCGCCAUUUAAAGUGGUACGCGAGCUGGGUUUAGAACGUCGUGAGACAGUUCGGUCCCUAUCUGCCGUGGGCGCUGGAGAACUGAGGGGGGCUGCUCCUAGUACGAGAGGACCGGAGUGGACGCAUCACUGGUGUUCGGGUUGUCAUGCCAAUGGCACUGCCCGGUAGCUAAAUGCGGAAGAGAUAAGUGCUGAAAGCAUCUAAGUACGAAACUUGCCCCGAGAUGAGUUCUCCCUGAGACUUUAGGUCUCCUGAAGGAACGUUGAAGACGACGACGUUGAUAGGCCGGGUGUGUAAGCGCAGCGAUGCGUUGAGCUAACCGGUACUAAUGAACCGUGAGGCUUAACCUU
rnacentral:rRNA from 1 species